GCAUUUGUUGAUCUCUGUUACACCUCUGCUAUCACUCCCAAGAUGUUGAAAAACUUUGUAGAAACAAAAAAAUCUAUCUCAUGUAUAGGAUGUAUGGUGCAAUUAUUAGUUUAUGUUUUGAGAUAUCUGCCAUCAAAAAAAUAGUAAAGUAAAUCAAUGAGAAGUGCAUAAUCAAUGUUGUGUAAGGACUUCCAUUAAAUAGAGUAUAAAGACUCAGCAGGGGGUAGAGGGAAUCUUUUCUUUUCUUCUCUUGAGA
rnacentral:lncRNA from 1 species